GUGAAGACCAAGACAAACAGUAGAUUAACAGUGGUACCUUUUAUAAAGCUGAUUAGUUCCUAAAAUAUGCUGAAAGGAAACAAAACCAAAAAGGAAAAAAAAGAGAGUGGAAUAGGGGCCGAGACAGAAGCCUUUGUCGGUGAGAACAACAGCAUGACUGGAAUGGCGAUAGCCACUUCUAAAAUGUCCAUUUAUUCAUAGCUCAUCUACUUCUCAAAAAGAAAUUGUGGUAAGUUACACCAGAAAUGGAGUUCCAAUAAAACAGAGACUCAUCAACAGAAGCUAAAAGACAACAGACAAACAUGAAGUAAUAGUAGUAGAAAAAUUUAUAUCAAUAAACCCUCGCAAAAAGAAUGCAAUUUCCAGCUCUGAGUUUUCCAGCAGCCAGGCAAAGAGAGAAAGCCCAUGAACUACAGAGACCUCCUCAGCUCGUCAUGAAAACCACGUGGGUUCUUUAAGGGAAACGACAUUUUUCUGUCCCUGAGCUCCUCCAGGUGGCGUUUGUCUGGGGCAGGGCGUGUGGGAGGCAGCCAAUGAAUUGCCGGAGAAGUUGGCUUUCGGUAGAGCUGGGGACAGCUCCCCUGGAGGGGGACUGUCUUUCUGACUUUGGCUGAUGUGCAUUCUGAGCCAGGAGCAAAGGAGAGUCAUUCUUUUCCUCUCUGAGCUCGGGGAGGGAUAAGCAAGGACAGAAAGGAAAGAACAAACUCUUUGGGUCAUGAAGAAGAGUUUCCUAUGCCCUGAAAGCAAGUUACAGCAGCUGACUUGAAACCACCACAUAGAGGAGCACUAGAAUUUGGCCAAAGGAGUUGUUUUCACCAAAGACCUUCUUGCUCUAAAGGUCAAGGAGCCCAGGACUCCAUACUUGGGAGGGCCCAUCUGCUGAGUGGGCCCCCUCCCUGGAGAAGGCCAGUUGAGCUGCUGCCAGACUCCAUGCCAAAUUCAAAUGAAAAAUGAGGGUUUUCUAGGAGAUUAUUGUGAAAAGGUGAGAAAAAAACUAAACCAGCUUUGCAGGAGCUAAACAGUGAUAUUUCGAGUCAACCACACUUUACAAAGCCGGAUGUUAUUUUAGACAACAUAAGUGUAAUCACUCUUUCUAUCCAGUCUCUGAUAUUAUACUGUACUGCAGAGAAAAUCUGCUGAUCAGUUUUAACGCCCUUCUCUGAGUUGUCAGAUAAAAGGCCACAGCAAUCGGAAGAAAUUUAUCUUUAAAAUGUUUCUAUUAUGCUUGGUGACAAUGCCGUUUCCACUGAGGACUUCUCUAGUAUGUAUUUUUUUUCCUAUGGAUGAAGCAGGAAUCAAAAAGGACUUUCGCUGGGCCUCGGGAGAGCAAAACGGGCAUGCAAACACUGAGCCUGGCGGGGCGUUAAGCUCUGAAAUGCUUCAGGGAGCCGCUGGCGCCGUGCACGUGCAUCAAGGCAGGGAUCUUUAUAGUCUAGGAAAUUCAUCACAGCGUGACAAUUUGUGCCCGGCUCCCAAACGGAGCUCGUCUAGUUCUCGCUCUUGUUUCCCCUCAGUGGCCUCACACAUUCUGGAAUGUGUCUUAAGGGGAGGAAUUCACAGAGGUUUCAGACUAAAGGAAAAAGCAGCCCGCUGAUUCAGUUCGCCUUGCCCCACACUGCGCCUUCAUUGUAGGAUAAUGAGGCCGACGCUCAUGCGGCGUCUACACUGUGCAGGCACCAGGUGAGUCACGUCACUCACAUCACUGCCAACCCUCACUGCAGCCCUCUAAAAAUAAAAUAAGUUUUCUUGUCCUGCCUCAAUUCAUGCAUUAAGCUGGCACUCAUUCAACACAGUUUUGGAGGACCUAUAGUGCAGGAUGGCAGACAAAGUUGCAGAUGUUGAGGACCCAGUGAUAAAGAAGAUAUGGCUCCCUGCACAGAAAUCGGAAAACCAACCAGCAAAAAAGUUAAAGGAUCUUGCCAAGGAGGGAGUAGAACCAGAGGGUGAUGCCGUUUGUAUACUUCUAAAGCUUGCACCGCUUCCUACGCACCACGCUGCUUCCCUUGACUCGCUCCGUCUUCUGAGCUGUGAGUUUCCUGAGGUUCAGAGCAGUGAUUUGAGGCUCAAGGCAAAGUUUGCCACAUCUUAACUGGAUGAUCUUGGGAAAACCAUUUCACUUCUCUAGCUUCAAUGAUUUUAUCUGUAAAAUGAGAACUCUAAUACCAAUCCCAUAAUGAUAUUCUGAGGCUUAAAUGAGAUUGUGUGUAUAAAGCCUUCAGCACUGUGACCAGCCCGUUGUAAAUGCUCCCGAAAUUUAAAAUAUGAUUGUCAUCUUCUUCCCUCCGGCUUUCUCUUACACUGAGGGACCUCAGGGCGGUUGCUUUCACCUAGAAUUAAAAUUUCUUCCCUGGCUGGCUUUGCCCUAUGGCCUAUCAGAGUUUUCGUUCUGACCUAAGGUGAUACUUGUCCUGCUUUUGCUGUUUACACUAGGGGUUUAUGGGAACAAAGAUGGAGAAAUGUCUUUGUGCUGAGAAGCAGUGUGUGACCUUAUAUAACAUUAUCAAGAAGAGAGGCCCCAAGAGAAGGACUCUGAAGACUUGAGUCUUAGCAUCUUUGAUUCCUGAGACUCACACAGGAGUGAAUUACCACCCUCUGUCCUUCUGUCUGACUUUCUUUUUAGACUGGGGAAUACCUCAAGGAAAUGACUCGGUCUUAUUUAUCUUUGUUGUCUUAGUGUCUGCCAUGGUGCUCAGUGUACAGUUAGUGCUGAUUAAAUAUUGUGGAAUGAAAGAUUGAAAAGUGACCCCCAAAGUUCCAUUUGUUUGUUGUUUUAAAAUGGGUACAUUUCUGUACUUUGAAAUGACUAGAAAAACAUAUGCCAAAAUGUAAGGUGGAACAAAGUUUUUCUCUGGGUGCUGGAAUUUGGAGGUGAUAUUUUUUCUCUGUGCUUUUAGAAUUUUGUGCAUUAAUAACAUUUAACAGCAAUUGAUGUUAUCAAGAAAAGAUCUUUGGACUUUACUUGUCGGGUAGAAGAGUUUGGUAUUUCUAGAUCAAAAAGUGACAUGAUGAGAGCUGAAGCCUCUGGAAAUCCAAUGUGAUGGUGGAGUGAGUGCAGCAUCGUCCUUGCCCCACUCUCCCCAGGCACUGAGCAGACCACCGUUAAUAUGCCUUUGUAGUUCAAAUUGCGUCACUCUUUCGUGGAGCUCUUAGCUCUUUGAAGCCUUUACUGCAUUCAACCUUCCAAUUAGGGAGCCAAUAUGACCAAUCUAUUGGACAGGGAUCAGAAAGAUUAUGCCUUUGACCAAGUUUUAAGGUCCCACAUUCUGCUCUCCUAUAAUCUAAUCUUCUAUACCUUAGCUCAGAGUGGUGACUUAUUCCCGCUCCCCCCACCAUGCAAAUGCUUACUGAUGUGAACUGAUAUGAGCAAUCAGCAGGAGCCAGGAUGCCUAACUAUGUUUGCUUUACAAGCGAUGUCAUUCUUAACGGCUUGAGAAAGUUUCAUUCUUUCUUCUUUCCUCCGCUGCAACUGACUCUCGUCACUGGUUGUCCUCAGCAAGGAUCUACAUACUCUUCUGUGAAGGUGUGUUUUGUAAAUUCUGAGCUCUGUUACUUCCAAACUGGGCUGUGAUGUUGCUGUAAAGUUUAUGAGUCACUGAAGAACAAGUUCAGGCCAAUCCCUCCCUCGUGACCCGACAGGUUACUUUGAAAAAUACACACUAAAUCAUCUUGCGGUUGUUUGGGUCUCCACAGGAUGACAGCUGUGCCCCCUGGUGUAGGGUCAAUGGCAGGCCAGUAGGUUAUUUGGCCUCUUGGGGAUCACAGGCAGCACAGGCUCACCCCCUCGGGCCACCACAAGGCUCUUUCUCUGGCCAGAACUAAUUCUUGGGAAGACAACACCCUAACGCAGGAAGAAAUGAGUGGAUCUCACAGGUGUGAGGAAUUUAUAAACUGAGUUAGUCUUGACUAGAUUUUAUAUCUCUUUUAAUAAAUUAUUAGUGAUAGCAUGAACUAGAUUCUCCCAAACAUAUAGUUUAUUAUUUGGUAGUAAGUUAGGCAAUUUGGGGAAAUCCAUAAAUCAAAUAAAUUAAUCUCUGCUAAUGCGUUAGCCAACAAAUGUGUCGUCUUUCCCAGACACAUGUUUUUGAAGAGUUGGCUUGAGCAUGUGUCUAAGACAUCCUUAAGAAGUGAUGCUAAUGCUGGGCUUCCAAGUCCUUCAAGAUAUAUUUGGUCAGAGGACAUUUUGGGAGGCACCAAAUCUCAUCCUAGAAGAGACUUCCUAAAAUGGAUCCUUGCCUGACAUCAGGAAAUCAUCUUCUCAGGCAGACUUUUCAGAAAAUUCAGAGUCAAGUCCCCUGGUUACUUUGGAUAAUUUUUAAUACAUUCUGGAAAUUUUUUUUUUUAAUAACAUGGGAAUAAUUGAGCUAGCUCACUCCAUGGGCUUUUAGGAAGUUUUAGUAGUGUAGUGAGUUGAACGGUAACUCCCCAAAAGUUAAGUUCACUCAGAUCCUCAGAAUGGGACCUGACUUGGAAUAAAGGUCUUUGCAGAUGUAAUCAAGGUGGGGAUCUCAAGAUGAAAUCAUCCUGGAUUAUCCAGGUGGGCUCUAAAUCCAAUGACAAGCGUCCUUGUAAAAGACAGAAAAGAAGAAGACAUGGAGACGCAGAGGAGAGCGCCAUGUGAAGACAGAGAAGGGUUGGAGUUUUGCCGCCACAAGCCAAGGAACACCGGGAGCCACUAGAGGCUGGAAGAAGCAAGCAAGGAUCCCCCCAGUGCCUUCAGAAGAAGCUUGGCCCUUGGUUUCAGACUUCUGGCCUCCAGAACCCUCGACUAAAUAAGUUUCUGUUGUUUUAAGCCACGUAGUUUGGGUGUAAUUUGUGUAAUUUGUAACGGCAGCCCUAAGAAACGAACACAAACACAUUCUUUGAGGUUCCCGACCACAAGUGCUCUAAAAAGUGGCAGAAUGACUGGGGAGUGUGCAUUGUUUUCUGAGAGGUCUAGAUUUGCUUUGUCUGUUAGGGUUAUAUCAGAUUCUCUUGGCACCCAGGGGGCAUCAGUAUGUUUUAACUCGCCCUGGAAAAGACCCACAAUCCAGUACGCAGCCGGCAGUUUUUGAUAAAGGACUGAUUGUGAAUGUAAUAAGUUCUUUAUGCAUUUUUUGAAUAAGCAAACAAAUAGUCCCUAGCCCCUUUUCCACUGGGAGUUCACCUUCUUGAAGAACCUGAAACAGGGACACCAAAGGCAUGAAGAAUAUUUAACUCCUGAUUGCAAUGUACAGCCAAGAAGUCCUGUUUUGUUAUCAGUUCUCUGAAUCUCUAAGAGAUUAAACAUUUGAUUAAACAUAUUUCAGCAACAGAAACUACUGAAAUGGCUUUUGAACUAUUUUAGUCACGUAGCUGUAUAUUUACCUUCCACACAAUGAAACAAUAUCCUCUACUCUGCUCGUUUGUUUAUGUGCUUGAAGGACCUAGGCUUCUACGUGUAUUCAUUCCACUCUUUCUUGAACAACAAGGAAAUGAUUCAAUGCAAGAGAUAUUUGGCCAGUGCCUACUAUGUGUCCUGGACACUAGUAGAGCUGGGUGGGUUACAACAAAAUUGAAAGGCAGACUACACGUGCUUCCAGAUUCAUCAAGGAGGUAGAAGGUGCAGGUAAUCCUUGUGUCAAAGACACCUGCACUACCCAAGACAGACACCUGGAGAGACACCCAAGCACAUGUCACUAUGCACUGCUGAUUUCCCCCUUUUCUCUGGCACCUCCUUCCUGGUUUAUUUACCAGGCCUCUACCUCCUCUACCAGCCAUUAACUGGAGGAGUCCCACAAGGUUCGAGUAGAGCCCUUUUUCCUUUUCCCUUUAUUGCUGUCCCUGGGCAAGAAAUCACAUACCCACUAACACUCCAGUUACUAACAAGAUCCGCAGAUAUGGAUCCUCUGCUCAGAGCUUUUCUCUGAGCUCUGGAUACUCCAUACAACUGCUUGAUAUAUCUUGUAUGUCUCAAAGUUAGCUCACUUUCAACAUGUCCAAACAAAACUCAUCAUCUUUGACCCUUGCCUCAGAUCUGGCCAUCCUUCAAUGUUCCCCAUGCCCAAGAAUGACCAAGACAGAAACCAAGGAGUUGUCUUUGAUACUUCGCUCUUCCGUACCUUCAUCUCUAAACCACUACUGACUCCCAUCAAUUUUACCUUCUGAAUUUUUCCCAAAUUCAUCUGUUUCUCUUCAUUUCCACUAUGACCUCUCUAAUACAUGUUAUAACCUAAUCACAGGAGUGACUUCCCAUCAUCUUUGCCAUAUUCUAUUGGUUAGAGGCAAGUCACAGGUCCUGUUCACACUGAAGGGGAGGAGGUUAUAAAAGCACAAUACCAGGGAGCCAAGGUCAUGGGGCCAUCUUAGAAUCCUGCCUAUCAUAGAUCUCAACUCUAACUGACUUCCACAGGAAAACCUCCCCCAAGCCAAGAAUUGGGUCUAAUCCCAUUCUUACAGGCUUUCAUCGCACCAUAUACCCCUUCUUCAUAGCAUUUAUCACAGUUGAAAUUUUAACUUAGUUAUAUGAUUAUUUGAUUAAUAUCUGUCUCCUCCACUUGUCAGACUCAUGAGGGGCUGUUGUGUUCACCAUAGCACCAGGCCUGGGAGCAUUGGGGAAGCUCAAAACUGUCUGUUGAACAAAAGGAGAGAAGAGCCAUGGAAGCCAUCUAUACUAUGUUGUCUUGAUCCUUCAUGCAAAAUCAGAGACAAAUCUCACUUCUGGGCUGCUUACUUAAUGGGUUGUCUCCUACCCUUGCUGCAGGAAUGCUGUUCACAAUGGACCGAUGGACAUUUUAUUGAAAAAAGAAUAGAGCCAGAGAAGCUAAGCUUUUAUCUACCACCAUGGAAACAGGCGAAUCAUGGUUUCUCAAAGUCCUAACCUCAAUAAGCAUCCCAAACUGACAAUUGACGUUAGAGGAAGUCGAGGAUAGAGUGAUAACCUGGAAUCACCAAUAAAAGUUAUUGUAACUGAUUUAUUUUCAUCGUGUUUUCUGGGAUUUCAGAUUAGCUUGUGUUCAGAGGAUCUAUGCUAAACCAUUGACAGACUUAAGUUGAUAUGACUGUGUCUCAUAUAAGAAUUAUAGCCAGAUUUUCAUGUUUGAGCAAUUUUAGAAAACAAUCAAACAUUUGCUUGGUUACCUGUGAGGUACCCAGAUGAGUCUUCCUUUUUCUGCGAAUAGUGUUCUCAGUGAUGGCUCAGUAUCAUAGGAUCUUCCCAAGCUGCUUUGUGAAGAUGGCUACACUAGCACCUCCAUAAUCAUCUCUGGCAAUUGUGGAGCACUUAAUCUGUGCCAAGCCUGCACCAAACACUUUAGCUAGAGGAGCUUUCUCGACAUUAACGCUUCCCUCGCCUGGAACUCUUCAUGUAACCCAGCUGAUAGGCAGUUCUCCUUGGGUUGUCCUCUCCUCCCCUUCCAAGGCUGAGGGAAGAAGGCAAAAAGCCCGGUGCUGGCAGAGGCAAAUUGGCCACCCCAGGGAAGACCGGGCUAAUGUGACAGCCUCAAGCAACAGAGAAGGUAACUAUGUAAGGCCACUCAAACAGCCCGUGCUGCAAGGACCCAGGGUCAAUUGUUUUUACAAAUAAAAUCUAUAGGCAUGGUGCACUAUGGGGACAACAUAUUUUACUUGGUAAUCUUGUAAAGAAUGACAUCUUGUUCUUCUUUGACAUACACCACCAAAAAUACAAAGUAAAACUUAAGUCUCUUACUGUAGUAAAUUCCAAGCAUGUUCCCAUCAUAUUUGACGUAAAUAUUUUAGGUACAUUAUUAUUAAGACGAGAGGAAUAUUUUGUUAUUAAAAUUACAUUGAAUUUUUUAAAAACUUCAUUGUUGAAAACUAAUCUAUGGAGACUAGAGCAGUAAUUAACUAGGAAGGAAUAUCAGGGAACUUUCUAGGGUAAGGGUAAUAUUUUAUAUCUUAACUUGGGUUGGGUUUGGGUUAUACAGGUGUCUGCAUUUGUCAAAACUCAGUGCAUGUACAUUGAAGAUGUGUGCAUUUCAUCAUGUAUAAAUUUUAUUCAAAAGAAAAGAAUAUAAAAUACGAUAAGGAAAGUAUAGAAAUAUGUUAAUUGUAAAAUCUGGAUGUGGGUAAAUGUGUG
rnacentral:lncRNA from 1 species